CUCCUAGCCUACAAGAGCAUAAACUGUGUAUGGCAAAUCACCAUCAAAACCGUCAAAAUCCAUCACUCCUUUGAACUACCUCAUGCUCCUCAACCGAAGGUACGUAGGCAACUUGAAACUUCAAGUACAGUCACAUCAUCAACAAAAACGCAAACACUUUGAAGAAUAAAGAGCAAAUCCAAGAAUGUGAAUACUUUAUUUCUUUAAAGGAAGAAUUCAGCUACAAAGCUGUAUUACAAAAUGAGCAAAAGCAAAGAUGGCUUAUUCAAUAGUCAACAAGGUGCUAUUCCAAGUUAUAGCUCUGCUAUGGAAGUGAUCACCAAGAAGCUCAAACGAAGCUGGUGAAUUGUAGCGAAUAUGGUGCGAAAGAUUCAAAAUAAGAAUCCUUGAUGUACAUGCCUUCUUCUUCGGAGUUGGUUGACCAAAAUCCGUCACUUGCCAAGACACUUCAGAAUACCACGACUUGAUAUGCAUUAAGUUGUCUUUUGCAGGAAGAACAAGCGCCUUAGGGGGCCAAUCAACGGCGCACAAAGCUUCAAUGUCGUCCCUUUAUCUCGUGAAUCGCCUUCCUUUCCAAGAAUAGUAAUGGUAUUAUUCUUAAAGCACUUGAAAAUACCAU
rnacentral:lncRNA from 1 species